UGCCGAUGAAGAGAAGAAAGCAAAGAAUAAGGAUCUGGCUGAGAAAUUACAUGCCAAGGUACAUGAGCAAAUGUCUCAGUCUCAGGUCGGCUCUAACACUCCUGUCCGGCUAAGCGGAGAGGAGGAGGACUCCAUCAUCGAGACGGUCAUUGGACCGAGUAGGAAGAACAGAUAGCGGUGGAGAGGAUCCGAGCAAAGGCCGCGAGUCUAGUAGCACCUACGAGUCUGCAGCACUACCAGGAACACCAAGAAGCAGUUCAUAUCAAGACUCGAUGGAGCAGUGGUUGAAAACGAUUGAAGAUUGACAGUCACAGCAAACAACAUAUCAAUGGAUUGCGGAGGAAGAAUGGAGGCGUCGGGAGCAGAGAGAAUUGGAGUUCACACAUUUCAUGUCGACUCUGCCUUAGGAGGCUCAGGAGGCAUAUAGAAGAUGGUUUAUAUCGGAUCAGGCCGGGACUUCUACAUAAGGUGCAGCCGGGGGUAGUCAUAGUGCAGCUGGUGUUGAGGAUGAUGAUGAUGAUCAGGAG